UGGGGAAUAUUGCACAAUGGGCGCAAGCCUGAUGCAGCCAUGCCGCGUGUGUGAAGAAGGCCUUCGGGUUGUAAAGCACUUUCAGCGGGGAGGAAGGCGGUGAGGUUAAUAACCUUGUCGAUUGACGUUACCCGCAGAAGAAGCACCGGCUAACUCCGUGCCAGCAGCCGCGGUAAUACGGAGGGUGCAAGCGUUAAUCGGAAUUACUGGGCGUAAAGCGCACGCAGGCGGUCUGUCAAGUCGGAUGUGAAAUCCCCGGGCUCAACCUGGGAACUGCAUCCGAAACUGGCAGGCUAGAGUCUUGUAGA
rnacentral:rRNA from 1 species